UCGAGCGAAUGGAUUAAGAGCUUGCUCUUAUGAAGUUAGCGGCGGACGGGUGAGUAACACGUGGGUAACCUGCCCAUAAGACUGGGAUAACUCCGGGAAACCGGGGCUAAUACCGGAUAACAUUUUGAACCGCAUGGUUCGAAAUUGAAAGGCGGCUUCGGCUGUCACUUAUGGAUGGACCCGCGUCGCAUUAGCUAGUUGGUGAGGUAACGGCUCACCAAGGCAACGAUGCGUAGCCGACCUGAGAGGGUGAUCGGCCACACUGGGACUGAGACACGGCCCAGACUCCUACGGGAGGCAGCAGUAGGGAAUCUUCCGCAAUGGACGAAAGUCUGACGGAGCAACGCCGCGUGAGUGAUGAAGGCUUUCGGGUCGUAAAACUCUGUUGUUAGGGAAGAACAAGUGCUAGUUGAAUAAGCUGGCACCUUGACGGUACCUAACCAGAAAGCCACGGCUAACUACGUGCCAGCAGCCGCGGUAAUACGUAGGUGGCAAGCGUUAUCCGGAAUUAUUGGGCGUAAAGCGCGCGCAGGUGGUUUCUUAAGUCUGAUGUGAAAGCCCACGGCUCAACCGUGGAGGGUCAUUGGAAACUGGGAGACUUGAGUGCAGAAGAGGAAAGUGGAAUUCCAUGUGUAGCGGUGAAAUGCGUAGAGAUAUGGAGGAACACCAGUGGCGAAGGCGACUUUCUGGUCUGUAACUGACACUGAGGCGCGAAAGCGUGGGGAGCAAA
rnacentral:rRNA from 1 species